GACGAACGCUGGCGGCGUGCUUAACACAUGCAAGUCGAACGGAAAGGCCCUGCUUUUGUGGGGUGCUCGAGUGGCGAACGGGUGAGUAACACGUGAGUAACCUGCCCUUGACUUUGGGAUAACUUCAGGAAACUGGGGCUAAUACCGGAUAGGAGCUCCUGCUGCAUGGUGGGGGUUGGAAAGUUUCGGCGGUUGGGGAUGGACUCGCGGCUUAUCAGCUUGUUGGUGGGGUAGUGGCUUACCAAGGCUUUGACGGGUAGCCGGCCUGAGAGGGUGACCGGCCACCAUGGGACUGCGGUAGGGACCAGACGCCUACGGGAGGCAGCAGGGGGGAGUUUGGCGCAGUGGGCGGAAGCCUGAUGUGGCGACGCCGCGUGCGUGAUGACGGCCUUCGGGUUGUAAACAGAUUUCGCAUGUAACGAAGCGUGAGUGACGGUAAUGGGUAAAGAAGCACCGGCUAACUACGUG
rnacentral:rRNA from 1 species